rnacentral:tRNA from 1 species
GGAGAGAUGCCUGAGUGGUUGAAAGGGACGGUCUCGAAAACCGUUAUAUCCGUAAGGAUAUCCAGGGUUCAAAUCCCUGUCUCUCCG